rnacentral:rRNA from 1 species
CCUACGGGUGGCAGCAGUGAGGAAUAUUGGUCAAUGGGCUCGAGCCUGAACCAGCCAAGUAGCGUGAAGGAAGACUGCCCUACGGGUUGUAAACUUCUUUUAUAAAGGAAUAAAGUGAGGCACGUGUGCCUUGUUGUAGGUACUUUAUAGAUAAAGAUCGGCCAAAUCCGUGCCAGCAGCCGCGGGAAUAAGGAGGAACAGGGCGUUAACCGGAUUUAAUGGGUUUAAAGGGAGCGUAGAUGGGUUGGUAAGUCAGUUGUGAAAGUUUGGGGCUCAACCGUAAAAUUGCAAUUGAUACUGGCAGUCUUGAGUACAGUUGAGGUAGGCGGAAUUCGUGGUGUAGCGGUGAAAUGCUUAGAUAUCACGAAGAACUCCGAUUGCGAAGGCAGCUUACUAAACUGCAACUGACAUUGAUGCUCGAAAGUGUGGGUAUCAAACAGGAUUAGAUACCCCAGUAGUC